AUUAAUUAAAGUUUUUAAUUUUAUACAAAAUAUGAUUUUAUUUAUUUAAGUAGAAAUUAAUAUUUUUUUAUUUAUAAAAAAUAUAGUGAAAAUUUAUUUAUUUUACUAAUAUUUGUGCCAGCAGUAGCGGUUAUACAAUUGAGUAGGUUUAAUAAUGAUUAUUUAUAAAUAAUAUUUAAUUUUAUUAAUUUUUAAAAUGGAAGGUGAAAUUUUAUUAUAAAAAUAUUUUAUAAAAAUAUUGUAAUUUUAAAAAGAUAGACUAAUGACUAGGAUUAGAUACCCUAUUAAUUGUUUUGUUUAUUAGUAGUAAGUGUUAUUCGUGAAACUAAAAUUGAUUGGCGGUUUUUAAAUUUUUUAGAGGAAUUUAUUCUAUAAAGGAUAUGACACCAAAAUCUUACUUUAAUUUGUAUUUUUAUCAGCUUAUAUACCUCUAUCUACAAAUAUUAUAAUAUAUUUAUGUACCAGAAUAUUGAAAAAUGUUAGGGAAAGGUGUAGUAAAUGUUAAAGAUUGAAAUAAAUUAUAUUAAUUAUUAUUUAACAAUAAAAUAUUGUAAAAUAUUAGUUUAGGAAAAUUUAAUAGUAAACUUUGCUUAUUGUGUAAAUUUGAAUUUGAUAAUUAGAAAUGCACAUAUUGCCCGUCACUCUCUUUUAAGAGAAAAGUCGUAACAAAGUAAAAUUACUGGAAAGUAUUUUUU
rnacentral:ncRNA from 1 species